CGUCAUGGCUGACGAAAAGCCCAAGGAAGGAGUCAAGACUGAGAACAACGAUCAUAUUAAUUUGAAGGUGGCGGGGCAGGAUGGUUCUGUGGUGCAGUUUAAGAUUCAGAGCAUCACUUAGUAAACUAAUGAAAGCCUAUUGUGAACAACAGGGUUUGUCAAUGAGGCAGACAAGAUUCCGAUUUGACGGGCAGCCAAUCAAUGAAACAGACACACCUGCACAGUUGGAAAUGGAGGAUGAAGAUACAAUUGAUGUGUUCCAGCAGCAGACAGGAGGUGUCUACUAAAAAGGGAACCUGCUUCUUUACUCCAGACUCUGUUCUUACAGACCAAGAUUACAUUCUCAAUUAGAAAACUGCAAUUUGGUUCCACCACAUCCUGACUACUACAGUACAGUUUUCUCUAUUCUUUCAUUUUCCCCUUCCCCGUUCCUUUAUUGUACAUAAAGUAACUGAUGUAUGUGCACACGCAUAUUGUAAUUUUUUUUUUUUUAACUAAAUGGCCAAUGGUAUGUUUUGAUUGACAUCAAGUGGAGAUGGGAUGGGAACAAAUACUGGUUCUGUGAAAAUACCCCCUUUCUCCAUUAGUGGCAUGCUCAUUCAGCUCUUAUCUUUAUAUUACAGUAAGUUAUUUUGCUCUCACUGUUUUA